rnacentral:rRNA from 1 species
GACGAACGCUGGCGGCGUGCUUAACACAUGCAAGUCGAACGGAAAGGCCCUGCUUUUGUGGGGUGCUCGAGUGGCGAACGUGUGUGUAACACGUGAGUAACCUGCCCUUGACUUUGGGAUAACUUCAGGAAACUGGGGCUAAUACCGGAUAGGAGCUCCUGCUGCAUGGUGGGGGUUGGAAAGUUUCGGCGGUUGGGGAUGGACUCGCGGCUUAUCAGCUUGUUGGUGGGGUAGUGGCUUACCAAGGCUUUGACGGGUAGCCGGCCUGAGAGGGUGACCGGCCACAUUGGGACUGAGAUACGGCCCAGACUCCUACGGGAGGCAGCAGUGGGGAAUAUUGCACAAUGGGCGGACGCCUGAUGCAGCAACGCCGCGUGCGGGAUGACGGCCUUCGGGUUGUAAACCGCUUUCGCCUGUGACGAAGCGUGAGUGACGGUAAUGGGUAAAGAAGCACCGGCUAACUACGUG